rnacentral:ncRNA from 1 species
AAAUAAGUUGUGAUUAGAAAAAGUAGUUGGCUACCAAUGUGAAGAGAGCCUGGGUUGAUGGAAACCGGGUGAUUGGGACAACGAAACACCUCUAUGAACUGAUCGGCUGAAUCAAGUAAGUCGCUCCGCAUGUUUAGCGUUAUCAGGGUUACCUUAACUGUUCUUGGACUGUGCCCAACGACUAGUUACUGGCAACGUAAGGCCGUCAUCGUGAGGUGGCGACAAAAUGAGGUGGAACCGCGAUCUAAUCGUCCUCGUA